UCCUAGAUAGCUCAGUUGGUGGCGCAUGAGACUCUUAAUCUCAGGGUCAUGGAUUUGAGCCCCACAGUGGGCA